CAAGGUCUUCAGGGUUGGGUGAGAUUCCCUACCGGCGGUGACAGCCCGCGAGCCCCAAGGGGCAGACCAGGUGUGAUUCCUGGGCCGACAGUGACAGUCUGGAAGGGAGAAGGCCGAA
rnacentral:ncRNA from 2 species